AUUCUUUUAGUAUUAAUUAGUACAACUGACUUCCAAUCAGUUAGCCUCAGUAAAAAUCUGAGAAAGAAUA
rnacentral:tRNA from 1 species